AGCCUGCUGACAUAUUUGGUAUUAUUUUCCUGCAACGUGCGGUAGUUCAAUAAUAAGUAAUGAAGCUGCUUGUGAUUUACAUCCUAUCGACAUGUGACGCUCACGUUCAAAAUAUAACUUCCAGCACGUCAAGUAAGCAUAUUAACGAUCAAUCGUUGAAAUCACAGUCACAGCAUUGCUAAUCAAAUGUCAGAUUCAGGCGUUAAAAUCACAUGGCAUUUCGGCAUCCUGUUAAGUUCGAAUUCAAUAAAGGACCUUCUCGCAGGCUAUAAUGCGUAUUAUUUUCUCGUUCUUUACUAUCACAAGCGUCUUUGCCACGAGACCAUACGACAAAAUUGCAACGUUACUAACCCCACCUGCAAACAUGUAGGGGGCAGCAACAAUCGCUCGAUGAGUGCCUACCGCGCAGUAUUGAGUCGAUAAAACCUCACUUGAAAUCAAGUGUGGCGCUGCUUGACACACCGUCUUUCGAGAUAUACUGCGUGACAAGUACACCUUAUUUCAUCAAGGACGACUUUAUUACCAUCAUAUCGAUCGGGAGCAUAAUUAUCUGUGACAUUCCAAACUUGAAGGAAUUCGGAGAAAUUCGGAGAAAGAAAUAGAACAACGCAUUAUUAUACUAAUCUUUAUUCUUAGCACGAUAUAUUAUAUAAAAUUAAUAAACUAUUAGGUAAGAUUAAGUAAGGUUAAGAGAAAUAUACCUACAAAAGCUCAUACCACAAACGUACUUUUACUAAUAAAAAAGUCUGUAAAAGUGCC